AAGAACAAAAAAGAAAUUAAAAAGAGGACCAUUAAAAUCACUUGUUGAAGAGAUUCUUCUUCCUGGAGAUGUUUUGUUUCAUUUGCCUUCUCUUUUUCUUUCUC
rnacentral:ribozyme from 13 species